rnacentral:misc_RNA from 1 species
AGCAUCGCCGCCGACACCGGUCCCAGUUUGAAAGUUGCCCGGCAGCUCCUCCGCGAACGUGUGCUCCUGACCGGUGCUCCUCUUUGCCGUGUUGCGUUCGGCGGGCGCGCGUAGCAGGCGCUUUUUCCUCGCGCGUGCGCUGUGUGCGCCGAGCGCUGUGUUUGUUUUCUCCGACCGCUGUUGGCGCGAACCCCGGACCGACAAAGUCCCUCAGCAGGCCAGCCCGCGGGUGCGGGGUGGCGAAGUAUGGUUCUGUGCGGCGGACAUGUGGCAGACGAUGACGCCCGCAGGUUGCUGCGCAGCACCGAGCAGCUCAACCAACAGAAGCAAGGCACUGCAUUUCAGCAUGUCAGAGAGAACAUUGAGGACCUCAAUGGGCGUGUGGGUGCUCGGGACACUGACCUCAUCUUUCUUAAGGGUCUCAUGGAAUCACCUGUUAUGAACUGCUUAGUUCAGGUUCAGGAUCAUCUCGAAGAGAAAACUACAACUUUCAAGCCUGUCUCUACAAACAAUGUAGAACUUCUGCGGGAUGUGUGCCAGGCUUGCCGACGGGUCAAUAAUCGUGAUGCCCAAGAACUUGCCAACAUCCUUAGUGGUCCUCACUUCUCAGCUUUGCUCAAUUCCCAUGAUGCUGUAGCUACGAAAAGCUAUGAACCUGCCAAGCCACUGGCUCUUGAGAAAGAAGCGCCAGCAAUGACACCUGAAACCUUGAAUGACACUAUCAGAAUGGUGGGGAUCAGAAAGAAUGAUGAUGAGCCCUUGGGCAUAACAGUACGGGUGGAGAAUGACAACUUGAUCAUUGCCCGCAUCCUUGCUGGUGGCAUCAUUGACAGGCAAGGGCUGUUGCAUAUUGGGGAUACAAUCCUGGAAGUGAAUGGUGUACCAGUCCACACUCCUGAACAGCUGCAGUUGCAACUGAAAAAGGCUCAAGGCAGUGUUGCAUUCAAGAUACUUCCCUCUUAUCAAGACAGCCUUCCAACUUUUCAGUGUUUUGUGAAAGCACUGUACACAUAUGAACCAUCAAAAGAUACCCUCCUGCCAUGCAAAGAAAUUGGGCUUGCCUUCAAGCAAGGUGACAUUCUACAAGUGCUCAAUCAGGAGGACCCGAAUUGGUGGCAGGCCAGGAGGGUCUCUGCCUCGGGUCCAGCAGGCCUUAUUCCAUCUCAGGAACUUGAGGAACGAAGACGAGCUUUUGUGCGGCCAGAAUAUGACUAUGCAACAAAGACAAAAAUGUGCGGCACAAAGAUCACAAAGAAGAAGAGGAAAACAAUGUAUGAAAGCAAGGCAUCAGCAGAGUUUGAAAAAGCUGAGCUACUGCUGUAUGAAGAGGUUGCCCGGAUGCCACCAUUUGAGCGCAAGACACUGGUACUUGUUGGAGCACGAGGUGUUGGCAGACGUUCACUGAAGAAUAAGCUUAUCAGCUAUGACCCUGUGCACUUUGGAACACCACUUCCCCACACAUCUCGACCUAUCCGGGAGACAGAAACAGAUGGCAAAGUAUAUUAUUUUGUAUCACGAGAGGUGAUGGAAGCUGACAUAGCUGACAACAAGUACCUCGAAUGGGGCGAGCAUAGUGGUCACCUCUAUGGCACCAAGCUGGACACCCUGCGUGCUGUCAUCCGCUCCGGAAAGAUGUGUGUAGUGGACUGCAGCCCCCAGUAUCUGAAGAUCCUGAACACGCCUGAGUUCAUGCCUUAUGUGGUCUUCAUUGCUGCACCUCAGCUGGAGCACUUUCGGCAGAUGCAUGAAUACGGACGUCAUCAUGGAUAUGGAAGCAGCCGUAACCUGACGUUUGACCGAGCCAUGAGUCGACAUGGUUCACGGCGGGCAAGAACCCUUGAAAGCUUGGCAUCUCUCCAGGAGGAUGAAGAUCUCAAGAGGACCAUUGAGGAAAGUGCCCAACUUCAAAGAGCAUAUGAGCGAUAUUUCGACACCGUGCUUGUGAACAACAACUUUGAAAAGACCUUUGAACAGCUCAAGGAUGUGAUUGAUUCAUUAUCAACAGAGCCUCAGUGGGUUCCCAUUUCAUGGGUUUACUGAGAUUUCCUUUUGCUAGUUUGAUGCAGUUGAAAGUCUCAAAGUAACCCGGUUUUAGUUGGCCUAUGUGAAUUAACUGUGUUAGCAGUAAGAAAUUAAACAUCUGAAAGUAUUUUAAGAUUUUAAAAGCCAUUUUUUAACAUAAGGAGUUGAUGCUGAUUGGGUUUAUGUCUAAUGUAGCAGUGAUACGAGGGAGGACCCAAAGCAAUGAGAAUUAUUCUUCUUUAGUUAGCAUAGUUCUAACAUUCCCAAACAUUAAUCGCCUUCAAAGCACUUCCUUUGAGAUUCAAUGGACUUGUCCUACUGCUGUAUCCAAUGUUCAGAACUGUACAGCAACUCUUGCAAACUGAUGACCCUCAGUGCUUUUGUUGUUUUCACUUUAGCUUUUCCACAUUUUGAAAAAAACUUCUGUUGAAUUAUUUUCACUUUUGCAGAUGAGUUGCAAGGGGUAAACUAUGAGGAGUAUAUGGAGAAUGAGGCUGCGUUGUCAUCUCAUUUUUGUCAGAAAGUGCUGCACAUUCAGUGCUAUGCAGAUGGGACUGUUGCCAUUUGUCCGAGUUACACAGAUUGAGGUGUUUUCUUUGAACUACAUCACAUGACUGAUUGAGCAUUUCAGUGUAAGAAUGCUGAUUGGCUGUCUGACCUUGUGGUACAAAUUAAAAAAGCACAAGCCCUUGGAUAUAAAAGAAAUUCACGAAAGGGAACAGAACUUGAGGCACACCUGUUGCUCUUUUACAUCCACUAUCGCAAAACUGAUUCAGACAGCCACAGAGGCUCAAAAGAAAAAAAUGCAGUGAGCUGGUGAAACUUUACACAAGGACACUGCUUGGCCAGCCGAUGCAGACGAUAGUGGAAUAGGUGUGCCUGUGUCACGGAUCGGUAUUAAAUCCCCUUUUGCCUCAGUGAAACAAUUGUCAUACUUUUGGGUCCCCUCUCGUAUAGUAGCUACACUCUUAAAACGAAGGCAUUCAAGUUGUGUUCUACUUUUUGUGUUGUGCUUAGCUCUGGUUGUAUGCUUAGCACAUGCCAUAAUUCAAUUUGGAUGAAUCUCAUCAUUUUUUUACAGUGUGACACGGCUUUUUCUCAUGUCACUUGUAUUUUGAAACCUGAAAAUGUAAGUUGCACAGUGCUUGCCAGAGCCAUGCUAACUCCGUCCAUUUGCCUAAUAUUUGGCAUUUUAAUAGCUGUGAUGCCUGUGGCAAGUACCAGAGCAGCUCCUUAAUACUGCAUCUAGGCAUUUAACUUGACAACAUUUUGUUGGCCAAAUGAGUAAUCUCAGAGAUAGCUGCCUUAGCAGCAUUGUUUUACAUCAGAUGCAGUUCUUUGUGUUGUGCAUUCCAUUUUAAAGCUGUUUGUUGAUUUUGCUCCUUGCUUAUUAUUACAGUAUGUGGAUAGUUUCCCUUAUGCAAAGGGUGAAAUGUCCUUUUUUUUGUGUGUGUGAGUGCGCGUGUUUGUGCAUGUGUGCGCAUGUGUUGAGUGAACACAGGCAUCUUGCCACUUUUUUAUAACCGGUGAUGCCACCUGAAACAUUACACACACAUCACUCACCAUACAGCAUAUCAUCUGCAUCCAGUUCCAGGCAGAGCACACUAAUAUUUGACUGUUGCUCUUUUGUUUGCCAGUGGCUUACCAGUGAAAUCACAUACCAUUCCUGUUACUGAUACUUCUGUCGUGUUACUAAUAUGUAAUAUUGAAUGCUGCAGUAAGACAAGAAAAACAGGAGUAUAAUUGUCAACUUUUCUUAUAAUUAUAUGCCAUUAAAGCAGAUAUGAUUUCCGGGUUCAAUCCCAGAUGUGGUAACCACAUUCUUGUAAGAGUGGAACUCAAAAAAUGCUCAUGUAUCGUGCAUUGGGUGCACAUUAAAGAACCCCAGGUGAUCAAAAUUAAUGUGGAAUCCCCCACUACGGCAUGCCUCAUGAUCAGAUCAUGGCUUUGGCACUCAAAACCCCAGAAUUUUAAGCACAUUUAUUUCCAUGAAUACAUAUUUUGAUUUGUUAGUAAUUUAAAUGUUGCAAUAAGGUGAAAUACACAGCUCUUUGCUUGUUACACAACAGUUUCUGUGGUUAUUGUUGAUGCCUUGCAUGAAUAAUGACAAAAAAAAAAAUUAAUGUGCACAUCUUUUGAUAAGCUUGCCAGUUUGCAUGCAAAGUUAGAAAUCUGGCUUAACAAAUGAUGUGCUGCCUGUUUUGGAUAUUUCCAUGUAACUUCAGGCGACGGUGCUGCAAUUUAGUGUGAUAUGCUUGUUUGCAGUACGCAGUAGAUCGGUGCUCCAUUGAGCAGGGCAUAUGAUGGCACAGGAAUGAGAAAGUGUGGCAGAUAUGAAGCAUAUACUUAAUACAAUAGAGUACCUGCGAGCAGCCUGAUUUUUGCAAGUGUGAGGCCCCCCCUUUUUUUUUGUGACUAGAAUGAUAUGAUAAGGUAGUGCGAGUGAUCAUCGGUGCUCACAUGGUCAUUAUGUGUGUAGUUUUAUGAAAUGCAUUCUGCAGAAUUUCACACAGGGUGCUGCCUGUGAGCAAAGAUCAAAUGCAUUGUAGGUUUUGGCUAUGUGUGAUUGUAGCUGUAUUUUUGUAUUCAUAGAUUAAAUGCACAUUUUGAUACCAAGGUGAUAACAUGGUGCAACAGCAACACUUUGUCAUUUGACGAGUGCUCAGGUAUUCAAAUGAAACAUAACAGAGGAGGUAAUAACCAAGAGUAAUAUGCUUCUGGCAUAAUAAUGUUUCUGCGAGUAAUAAUUUUUCUUCAUCUAGAAACCUAUGAAUUUCCAUGUAUGUUGUAGUUGUGGAUAUUCAUAUAUAUGAUAUUCUGUAAGCUGAAGCAUUAAACACUUGUGCUUGUAAUAGUUGAAAAUAUUGUUUUGCCCUGUAAAAUAUAUCUUGUGGUAAGACUGUGUUUACUGACACCACAGAUAAUUGAAAUGAAUUUUUGUGUAGAGGUGCAACACAUUUUACAUCAUCAUCUGCUACUGAUUAUGUGCCAUGCAGAAUUUUGGUGUAAAUUUGUAUGAUGACCAAGUGCAGUCUAUUUUUUUAGAGAUCCAUGAUGUACUUUUGAGGGGUUUUCAUUUCAAGAAUGAAGCAUGUUUUUUAUACUUUGUGUAGAUAUUCUCUUGCUACAACAUGAUGCAUGCGCUCAUUCAGAUGAACUAUAUUCUGGGGAAAAAAUUGAGUAAUGUGAUGUAUGUAAGAGGGCUUUGUAUGAUAGAAUUAAUUUGGGCGCCUUUAUUUUGUGUUCACUUGAGGAUCUCUCUUCCGCACCUGGAUUUACAAGUGGCAUUUGUAGAAAGCUUGGUAUUAUUGGUCAAAUGUUGCUCAAGUUCUGUGCCACUUCCAUUUGUUUCAAAGUUUGCCAGUUGAGAAUUCUAGGUAAAAGAAUUGUUGCAGGUAGAAUUCGUGCAGUUGCCACAUAAUUAUGUGCAAAGAUAGAUGUUUCAUUACAUGCUAUAGAACCCCGUCUCAGUGAAAAACUUUAGCUUAACACUGAUGAAAAGUGGCCUUCUGAGUUGAUUAGAUACCAUUCACCAAGUUCACCAAGAUACCAUUCAAGUUGUAGGAACAUCAUGGCACACAGUUGUGUUACUUUGACUGUAUCUGUGACUCUUAGUGCAAGGUAGCUACUUCGUGAAUAGCAACCAGGCACUUUUGGUUGUGGUUUAGGUACAUUGUGCCUUAUUUUUUACUGUCCUGAACUGUUUCUCUGCUGUAUUGCUGGCAUGUGGCAUAACAUGUCUGAAGAGUGGCAUAUAGUUCUGUAAUGCACAUACAUUUUAUUGUUUAGUCAUACCUUAAUAACAUCAACAGAAUUUUGACUGCAAUUAGAGCCACUGCACUAGAAACAGAUCUCACAAUGCUUGAAGAUGCUGUUGCAUUGCAGAUGAAACAGACUGGAAGUAUGCUUUCAAGGCACUAUACAGCCAUUCUCUUUUUACAUUUGUGCUUGAAUUUUCAUUUGUUAGCUCACGUGUCUUGUAUAUCUGAGGUCUUUACAACUGAGAUUUUUAUAGACCUGUUACCUGGUUGCCAUUCUGGCAUCAUCCGUCCAGAGGUGUGCCUUUAACAGCUGCACAAUAAAGUUGUGUUGCAUUCAUGCCAGAA